GAUGAACGCUGGCGGCGUGCCUAAUACAUGCAAGUCGAGCGAACGGACGAGAAGCUUGCUUCUCUGAUGUUAGCGGCGGACGGGUGAGUAACACGUGGAUAACCUACCUAUAAGACUGGGAUAACUUCGGGAAACCGGAGCUAAUACCGGAUGAUAUUUUGAACCGCAUGGUUCAAAAGUGAAAGACGGUCUUGCUGUCACUUAUAGAUGGAUCCGCGCUGCAUUAGCUAGUUGGUAAGGUAACGGCUUACCAAGGCAACGAUGCAUAGCCGACCUGAGAGGGUGAUCGGCCACACUGGAACUGAGACACGGUCCAGACUCCUACGGGAGGCAGCAGUAGGGAAUCUUCCGCAAUGGGCGAAAGCCUGACGGAGCUACGCCGCGUGAGUGAUGAAGGUCUUCGGAUCGUAAAACUCUGUUAUUAGGGAAGAACAUAUGUGUAAGUAACUGUGCACAUCUUGACGGUACCUAAUCAGAAAGCCACGGCUAACUACGUG
rnacentral:rRNA from 1 species